GCACGUUGCUAAUAAAAUACCUCCUGUCUAUCUGACUUAAACUGCGUCUCUUAGACAGUUAUUCAUCGCCUUUUGGGGCAAAAUUCGGCAUCAGUUCUGGCGACCCAGGUGGGACGAAACAGGAGACUCAGACUUUGAGGGGUUCCCUCCGAAGAGCCGGUCCGGGGCCGGGACCCUCUGGGGCCCCUGACGGAUUUUUGUCAGAAGAGACUCCCCUCCCGGACCUGCGCUCUUCGGCAGAGGAAGGAUUCCCUGCAUCUCCUGCUCCAAUUAAGAGAUUGAAACGCGCAUUGUGCUGUCUACGUGCCUUGAAUUUGGGAAGCCGGUACUUCACAGUUUGAGGGCGACUUUUUUUGUGACAAAACCUGAAUCUUUUAGGAAAACCCCUACAAGAGAAGUGGGAAGGACCUUUCCAAGUGCUGCUGACUACCUUCACCGCGGUCCGGAUCAAG